ensembl:lncRNA
AGUUAAAGAAAAAAAGGUAUUGUAAAUCUGACAAAUGACAGAGUUCAGGUGAUAUUUCCAUAGCGUGAUUUUAAAAUAUAAUAAUGUUGAUAUCUGAGAUUACACUCACUUCAGUUGACAUGAGUUUCAUCAUAUAUAGAAAAAGUAUCACCUUCAACUUAAAAAAAGUAAAGGUUAAAAGGUGGCACACUUUUAAAAUACUUGGUGGCCAAGGAAAGGUAUAUAGUAAAAGUUGUAAACCAUGUGUAUGUUCUUAUGACUUUAAAUGUGAGGCCACGCGAAAGACAGUACAUCUGUUAAAUUCUAUAAAUUGUUAAAGCAAAAAAGGGAAAGCGUCAACACCCCAUCCCCUAAUAUUUUGAGUAUUAAAAGCACAGCUGAAAUAUUAGGAUUUGAAAUCUGAUACUGCCCAUGUACAGUAAGUAGCUUUCUGACAUUUUUAUCCAGCUGUGGAGAAUCUCUGCACUGUCAUCAGGUACAACAAAAGAUCAAACCCAUGUCCCCAUGUUAACUUUUUAACUUAAAAGAAUGCCAGAAAACCCAGAUCAACACUUUCCAGCUAUGAGCCGUCCACAGAGGCCACCCAAGGGCCAGUCAGACUCGUGCAGAUCUUAUUUUUUAAUAGUAGUAACCACAACACACAGCUCUUUAAAGCUGUUCAUAUUCUUCCCCCAUUAAACACCAGUACAGAGAAACCACAGGUUGCCCUUUCCACAGCUGGAUAGACUUAUCCAAAACGGCAGGAUGGUUCUGUAUUAAUCUUUUUGGAACGCAUAUCUGUAUUAAGAUUGCAAAACAUACAGAUAGCUACCACAAAUUAGGUCAAAUGACUGAUCAAGUUGUAACAUCUAUGAGGUCAAAUUCCAGUUAUAAUAAAGUGCCUAGAUACACAUUUAUACAACAGACCAUAAGAGCUGAAUUCUUUACAAAUGUCUUUAUGGGCAUGUAAAAUUGACUCUGCAUUUCUGCAUGUGUGCAUUCACAUAAAAGAGACCAGUCUGAACUGAGUCAUAUAUACUCCAAUUUGAAAAAAAAAGUGUAAUAACUGGUUAAUCAUGCAAGUCUGUUUGUAAUAUAACAAUGACUGGUAACAUGAAUUCUCGCACAGUAGUAAUAAUAGGUGCACUCAUUUAAAACACUACGGAAAAAUACUGUAUUUGGUGCAGUAUCUGAUUUUCAAGUGUUAGUAACUUGACCAUUAAAAAAUAGUUUUGAACAAUUUAAAAAGGAAAGACAAACAUAUAACUAAAAAAGAAUCCAAGGUUGGUAAAAAUCUAUAUUUUCAAAUGAAAACAGAAGCUAGGCUGUGAACCAUACACAUAAAUUGUAGACCUUGAAGCCAUAAUUCAGCCUAAUUAUAAGGCCAAGUUACAAACACCUGAACAUAAGGAUUUAAUAGUGUUCCUGUCAAAUGUUAAAUCAUAACAGCACAAAAGAAAAACCAGUAUCACUGUGAGACAACUAUUUCUAAUAAUUGAUGAUUUAUUGGUUUUAAAAAAAUCAUUUUACUGAUGCAAAAUAGUGAUCAAAAGAAAUUAGUUUACAAAAAGACUUCUAAAAAUAUUUUGAGAGGUGGGGCCUGUCUAUUAUAUAAAACCCUUAAUUUCUUUAAUUUCCACUAGUUUAUCAUUUUUUUCCAGAACAAUAUUAUUCACUUGGUAUUUCAAACACAUGUUAAGAAGGAAAUUACAGGUUUCCUCCACCCACAUUUGGGCUGUCACUGAUAUGCCCAAGGGCAGUCCUGGCAGCACCACGCGGCUGUUACUGUCAUUGUACCAUACUGUAUUCAGCACUCACUAGAA